GAGUUUGAUCCUGGCUCAGAUUGAACGCUGGCGGCAUGCCUUACACAUGCAAGUCGAACGGCAGCACGGGAGCUUGCUCCUGGUGGCGAGUGGCGAACGGGUGAGUAAUGCAUCGGAACGUAUCCUGGAGUGGGGGAUAACGUAGCGAAAGUUACGCUAAUACCGCAUAUUCUGUGAGCAGGAAAGCGGGGGACCUUCGGGCCUCGCGCUCUUGGAGCGGCCGAUGUCGGAUUAGCUAGUUGGUGAGGUAAAGGCUCACCAAGGCGACGAUCCGUAGCAGGUCUGAGAGGAUGAUCUGCCACACUGGAACUGAGACAGGUCAGACUCCUACGGGAGGC
rnacentral:rRNA from 1 species